UUCCUCCUGACCUGACCAUGAUCUCGAACAUGUUUUUUGUCCCUUGGAUUUUCCUGCCCUGUCUAGCCCAUGUCGGACUCUUCACUGGCUUCUGUUUUCUGGACUCGAACCUUCUUCUGCCUUUCGACCUCUGCCUCUUGCCUUGCCCCUGGAUUUGACUGCCUGAUAUUGCCUGCACGUGUUGGACACUUUUCUGUGCCCUGACUACUGUUCUUCGCCUGCCCCUCACAUAAGCCUUGCCUUGUCCUACCACCCUGAUCCUGCCUCAACCCCUUGACCUCCUAGUUCUGUUUCUUCCUGGAUGUGUCACCCGUUGCUAACCACUGUGCUGCCUGGACUCCUCAUCCUCCACAACACUUUAAGAAGAGGUUCCUGUCCCAUUGCCGGUGGUUGCCUGCCCCCUACUCUGAUCCUCAAUAAAGAUCUUAUUGUUUUUUCUACUUUGUGUCUGACUGAAAUUUCGGGUCCUCAGUUCUGAGCAUUACAG